AUUGAACGCUGGCGGCAUGCUUUACACACGCAAGUCGGACGGCAGCGGGGUAGUGCUUGCACUACUGCCGGCGAGUGGCGAACGGGUGAGUAACAUAUCGGAACGUACCGAGCAGUGGGGGAUAACUAAUCGAAAGAUUAGCUAAUACCGCAUAUAUUCUGAGGAAGAAAGCAGGGGACCUUCGGGCCUUGCGCUGUUUGAGCGGCCGAUAUCUGAUUAGCUGGUUGGUGGGGUAAAGGCCUACCAAGGCGACGAUCAGUAGCGGGUCUGAGAGGAUGAUCCGCCACACUGGGACUGAGACACGGCCCAGACUCCUACGGGAGGCAGCAGUGGGGAAUUUUGGACAAUGGGGGCAACCCUGAUCCAGCCAUGCCGCGUGUCUGAAGAAGGCCUUCGGGUUGUAAAGGACUUUUGUCCGGGAAGAAAAGCGCGAUGUAA
rnacentral:rRNA from 1 species